GAGUUUGAUCCUGGCUCAGGACGAACGCUGGCGGUGCGCCUUAUGCAUGCAAGUUGAGCGAAGCUUUUUGGUAGUUUACUACUAGAAAUGACUGAGCGGCGAACGGGUGAGUAACGCGUGAGCAAUCUACCUUAGUUACUGGGAUAGCCCGAGGAAACUCGGAUUAAUACCGGAUAUUCUUAUUUUUUCACAUGAAGUUUUAAGGAAAGGUCAGCCGAACUAAGAUGAGCUCGCGUUCUAUCAGCUAGUUGGUGGGGUAAAAGCCUACCAAGGCUACGACGGAUAGCUGGUCUGAGAGGACGAUCAGCCACACUGGGACUGAGACACGGCCCAGACUCCUACGGGAGGCUGCAGCAGGGAAUAUUGUGCAAUGAGCGAAAGCUUGACACAGCGACACCGCGUGUGGGAUGACGGUUCUAGGAUUGUAACCACUUUCAGGAGGGAAGAAAAUGACGGUGCCUCCACAAGAAGACCCGGCCAACUAUGUGCCAGCAGCCGCGGUAAUACAUAGGGGUCAAGCGUUGUCCGGAUUUAUUGGGCGUAAAGAGCUCGUAGGCGGUUCAACAAGUCGGUCGUAAAAGUUUAGGGCUCAACCCUAAAAUGUCGAUCGAUACUGUUGUGACUAGGAUACGGUAGAGGUGAAUGGAAUUCCGAGUGGAGCGGUGAAAUGCGUAGAUAUUCGGAGGAACACCAAUUGCGAAGGCAGUUCGCUGGACCGUGAUCGACGCUGAGGAGCGAAAGCUAGGGGAGCAAACAGGAUUAGAUACCCUGGUAGUCCUAGCUGUAAACGAUGGAUACUAGAUGUAGGAACUGGAUUGACGGUUUCUGUAUCGUAGCUAACGCGUUAAGUAUCCCGCCUGGGGAGUACGGUCGCAAGACUAAAACUCAAAGGAAUUGACGGGACCCCGCACAAGCGGCGGAGCAUGCGGCUUAGUUCGAUGAUACCCGUAGAACCUUACCUGGACUUGACAUAUAGGGAAAAACAGGAGAAAUCCAGUGUGCGUAAGCGCCCUAUACAGGUGGUGCAUGGCUGUCGUCAGCUCGUGUCGUGAGAUGUUGGGUUAAGUCCCGCAACGAGCGCAACCCCUGUCCUAUGUUGCCAGCAAGUAAUGUUGGGGACUCAUAGGAGACUGCCGGUGAUAAACCGGAGGAAGGUGGGGACGACGCCAAGUCAUCAUGCCCCUUAUGUCCAGGGCUGCACGCAUGCUACAAUGGCAAGUACAACGAGUCGCAAUACCGCGAGGUGGAGCAAAUCUCUUAAAGCUUGUCUCAGUUCGGAUAGGAGUCUGCAACUCGACUCCUUGAAGUUGGAGUCGCUAGUAAUCGCAAAUCAGCAAAGUUGCGGUGAAUACGUUCUCGGGGUUUGUACUCACCGCCCGUC
rnacentral:rRNA from 1 species